rnacentral:rRNA from 1 species
AGCCUACUCUAGCCCAACCGCACCUCAUAGCCAAACACCCCACAAGACUCACUCUACUAACAAACCAAAACAUUCUAUAAACUUAGUAUAGGCGAUAGAAAAGACCCGCAUCUGGCGCAAUAGAGAUUAGUACCGCAAGGGAAAGAUGAAAUAGCAAUGAAAAACUAAGCAAUAAACAGCAAAGAUUAACCCUUGUACCUUUUGCAUCAUGACUUAGCAAGAACAACCAAGCAAAGUGAACUUAAGCUUGCCCCCCCGAAACCCAAGCGAGCUACUUGCAAGCAGCUAUCUAAGAGCGAACCCGUCUCUGUGGCAAAAGAGUGGGACGACUUGCUAGUAGAGGUGAAAAGCCAACCGAGCUGGGUGAUAGCUGGUUGCCUGUGAAAUGAAUCUAAGUUCUCCCUUGACCCUCUCCCACCGGACAACAACUUAACCCCCAUGUGACGGAUCAAGAGCAACUUAAAGGAGGUACAGCUCCUUUAAAAAAGAACUCAAUCUCCCCCAGAGGAUAACUAACUUAUCUCCUUAAUCUGUAGGCCCUAAAGCAGCCACCAACAAAGAAUGCGUCAAAGCUCUCCACACAAAAAUCCUAAAGACAACCUGACUCCCUCCCCACUAACAGGCCUAACCUAUCAGAAUAGGAGAAUCAAUGCUAGAAUGAGUAACUUAGGGAAGGACCCCCACCCCCUCUUAAGCGCAAGCUUACAUCCCUACAUUAUCAACGGUCUACUGAACCAAUAUCCUCACUCUCACAAGACCAGAAUAUUGCACACCACCGUUACCCCAACCCAGGAGCGCCCACUAGAAAGAUUAAAACCUGUAAAAGGAACUAGGCAAACCCAAGGCCCGACUGUUUACCAAAAACAUAGCCUUCAGCCCCCCAAGUAUUGAAGGUGAUGCCUGCCCAGUGACACUAUGUUUAACGGCCGCGGUAUCCUAACCGUGCGAAGGUAGCGCAAUCAAUUGUCCCAUAAAUCGAGACUUGUAUGAAUGGCUAAACGAGGUCUUAACUGUCUCUUACAGGUAAUCAGUGAAAUUGAUCUUCCUGUGCAAAAGCAGGAAUAAACACAUAAGACGAGAAGACCCUGUGGAACUUAAAAAUCAGCAGCCACUACAUACAAGCCAAACCCUACUAGGCCUAUCCCCCCUGAAUGCUGGCCUGCAUUUUUCGGUUGGGGCGACCUUGGAGUAAAACAAACCCUCCAAAAAUAGGACCACACCUCCUAACCAAGAACAACACCUCGACGUACUAAUAGCAACCAGACCCAAUACAAUUGACCAAUGGACCAAGCUACCCCAGGGAUAACAGCGCAAUCUCCCCCAAGAGCCCCCAUCGACGGGGAGGUUUACGACCUCGAUGUUGGAUCAGGACAUCCUAAUGGUGCAGCAGCUAUUAAGGGUUCGUUUGUUCAACGAUUAACAGUCCUACGUGAUCUGAGUUCAGACCGGAGCGAUCCAGGUCGGUUUCUAUCUAUGCCAAACUCCCCCCAGUACGAAAGGACCGAGAGAGUGGGGCCAAUACUACAAGCACGCCCUCCCCCAAGUAAUGAACCCAACUAAAUUACUAAAAGGCCACCCCCAAUAUUACCCCUCCUAGAAAAGGACG